UCUGUCAUUAUUGAGCAUGUGCCACCCUCAGCUUCAGUCAAGACUGUUUGUGUUCCAAUAGUAUGAUACAAUGCAGCAGUGGGGCAGAGACAGCGGUGAAGAUGCAUAAAUAGAAGCACAGCCAGAUAAAGUAUUGCUGUGGUACACUGUCUCCAUGAAAAGGUCUCCUUAGUUUGGACUUACAAAGUGAAUGUUUGGGCCUGAGAUUUUGACUACUGUUCCUGUUUUUAAUGAGAACUUGUGGGGAGGCUAUGCUAGGAAUAGCCAACCGUAUAUCAUCUUUGAACUUGUCUGAUGUAUGUUUACUCCUACAGAUACCUGUUUAUAUUUAACUAACACUGGUUGAAUUUCAUAGGGUAAGUUUGGCCAAAACAUGUUGG
rnacentral:lncRNA from 1 species